GGACUACUAGGGUAUCUAAUCCUUUUUGCUCCCCACGCUUUCGCAUCUCAGAGUCAGGAAGGUCCCAGUGCACUGCCUUCGCCUUUGGUGUUCCCCACGAUAUCAACGGAUUUCACCCCUACACCGUGAGUUCCAUGCACCUCUAACCUCCUCUAGUCCGGUCGUAUCUCCUCCAUUUCCACCGUUAAGCAGUGGGCUUUAAAAGAAGACGCACCAAACCUCCUACAUGCGCUUUACGCCCAAUAAAUCCGGAUAACGCUUGAGGUCUACGUUUUACCGCGGCUGCUGGCAC
rnacentral:rRNA from 1 species